GUAGGUGGCAAGCGUUGUCCGGAAUUAUUGGGCGUAAAGCGCGCGCAGGCGGUCCUUUAAGUCUGAUGUGAAAGCCCACGGCUCAACCGUGGAGGGUCAUUGGAAACUGGGGGACUUGAGUACAGAAGAGGAAAGCGGAAUUCCAAGUGUAGCGGUGAAAUGCGUAGAGAUUUGGAGGAACACCAGUGGCGAAGGCGGCUUUCUGGUCUGUAACUGACGCUGAGGCGCGAAAGCGUGGGGAGCAAACAGGACUAGAUACCCUGGUAGUCCACGCCGUAAACGAUGAGUGCUAAGUGUUAGGGGGUUUCCCGCCCCCCUUAGUGCUGCAGCUAACGCAUUAAGCACUCCGCCUGGGGGAGUACGGCCGCAAGGCUG
rnacentral:rRNA from 1 species